GGAAUGUUCUGCUACAGUGGGAUGACACCUGAACAAGUUAACCAUUUAACAAAUGAAUACCACAUUUGCAUGACCCGCAAUGGGAGGAUAAGCAUGGCUGGUGUAACGACAGGAAAUGUUGGUUACCUAGCAAAUGCAAUUCAUGAGGUUACCAAACCAAAUUGAGUUAGGGUCCUACCUUCUUUGGUCGAUGGAAGCUGAUGGAAUGAGACUGUGAAGCGGCGUUUCCCCCCCUCUGUUCCUGACAAAAAUAAGUUCAACCUGCUGCUACCAUAUACAUGGACACAAACUCAGAUUAGACACUCAAGUUUUGAGAGUUGUGAUCCUGUUUCAUUUAAUCAAAAACAAUUUUGUUUUUUUCCAUCUUGUCGUGGCAAAUGUUACACCAGCUGCAAAAUAAUUACAAUAAUUGAUUUUGAUCCA